rnacentral:antisense_RNA from 1 species
GAUCCAGCAUUUGGAGGCAAACAUGAAGCUCCAUCCUCUCCAAUUCUGAGGCAACCGUGUGGAGAUGAUCAAAAUGCUUCACCUUCAAAACUUUCAAAGGAAGAGUUAAUACGAGUCUAUGGAUCGUGUAGAUCGAGAAAUUUGCAAAAGUAGAACAGCAGAUCCUUAAACUGAAAAAGAAACAAGUAAAAGUCUUUGUCU